rnacentral:rRNA from 1 species
AUAAUUGAGAGUUUGAUCCUGGCUCAGGAUAAACGCUGGCGGCGUGCAUAACACAUGCAAGUCGAACGAUGAACCUUAUUAGAUUUCUUCGGAAUGAAAAUAAGUGGAUUAGUGGCGAACGGGUGAGUAACACGUGAGUAACCUGCCUUACACAAGGGGAUAGCCUUUGGAAACGAAGAA